UCGAGAAUUUUUCACAAUGGGCGAAAGCCUGAUGGAGCGACGCCGCGUGGGGGAUGAAUGGCUUCGGCCCGUAAACCCCUGUCAUUUGCGAUCAAACCUGCCUGUCUAAUACAUUGGCAGCUGAUAGUAGCGAAAGAGGAAGGGACGGCUAACUCUGUGCCAGCAGCCGCGGUAAUACAGAGGUCCCAAGCGUUGUUCGGAUUCACUGGGCGUAAAGGGUGCGUAGGUGGCGGUGGAAGUUUGAUGUGAAAUCUCCGGGCUUAACCCGGAAAAGGCAUUAAAGACUCCAUUGCUCGAGGACGGGAGGGGAGACUGGAAUUCUCGGUGUAGCGGUGAAAUGCGUAGAUAUCGAGAGGAACACCAGUGGCGAAGGCGAGUCUCUGGACAGUCCCUGACACUGAGGCACGAAAGCUAGGGGAGCAAACA
rnacentral:rRNA from 1 species